AAAAAAUUAGUUAAUUAAUAAUAAAAGAUUGUCAAUUUUUUGUAGCUUUGUUUAAAGCAUUUUUUG
rnacentral:tRNA from 1 species